rnacentral:rRNA from 1 species
CCUACGGGUGGCAGCAGUGGGGAAUAUUGCACAAUGGGGGAAACCCUGAUGCAGCGACGCCGCGUGAGUGAAGAAGUAAUUCGUUAUGUAAAGCUCUAUCAGCAGGGAAGCAAAUGACGGUACCUGAGUAAGAAGCCCCGGCGAACUACGUGCCAGCAGACGCGGUAAUACGGAGGGGGCAAGCGUUAUCCGGAUUUACUGGGUGUAACGGGAGCGUAGACGGCAGUGCAAGUCUGGAGCGAAAGUCGGGGGCUCAACCCCCGGACUGCUCUGGAAACUGUACGGCUGGAGUGCAGGAGAGGUAAGUGGAAUGCGUGGUGUAGCGGUGAAAUGCGUAGAGAUGAGGAGGAACACCAGUGGCGAAGGCGGCUUACUGGACUGUAACUGACGUUGAGGCGCGAAAGCGUGGGGAGCAAACAGGAUUAGAUACCCCGGUAGUC